UACGUAGGGCGCAAGCGUUAUCCGGAAUUACUGGGCGUAAAGCGCGUGUAGGCUGACCGGAAAGUCGGGCGUGAAAUCCCUGGGCUCAACCCAGGAACUGCACUCGAAACUCCCGGUCUUGAGUGGUGGAGAGGGAAGUGGAAUUCCUGGUGUAGAGGUGAAAUUCGUAGAUAUCAGGAGGAACACCAGUGGCGAAGGCGGCUUCCUGGACACCAACUGACGCUGAGACGCGAAAGCGUGGGGAGCAAACAGG
rnacentral:rRNA from 1 species